ensembl:lncRNA
CUCUUGCUGCAGAUCCCUGCACACCUGAAGUCUUCUAAGGUCCAGAAUGUGGCACCAUACCAGCAACUACUGAAGAUAAUUAACUCUAUCUCGGCCAGGAAAAGCACAGUGGUCUGACUAUUUCAUGUCAGAGGAUGGAAGAUAUUUAAACUACUUCCAGGAGAACUUUUAGUCUCUGAAUCUGAGUGCUGCCUUAUGAAUGAAGGUCAGCUGGCAUAAGCUGUGCAAAUGUUCCAAGCCUCUGGAGCUUAGGAGGGAAUUUAGGAGGCUUUGAAGUGCUCUUGAUCUUCAGAAGGACAUCUGCAGCUAAUGGUCUGCACUAGCACGCCAAGAGCUGUAAGGUUACAUUGCGACUGUCUUGAGCCUUCUCUGUCCCAGUAGGCUUCCAGGGUCCUUUAAUGCAAGUUCAGAGAAAAGCAAGUUGUAAAAAAUGCACUCUCAACCUAACAGCUGAUAAUCUAGUGCUGGUUAAGUCAGGUGUAAAAUGUCAUACUGGGGUUUUAACUACGGUGCUUAAAUGCAUGAUAAAGUACAGCACACAGAAUUAGUGGGAUUUCAAUGGAAAGUUAAGUAAGCAGAGACUCUGUGCUCUUUGCUAUACAACUAAAGGUUCAUUUUCUAAUUGCAUCCAAAUAGACAAAUAUCUGUUUAUUAGCCAUGCAAAGCAGCACAAUAGUUUGCCAGGCUGUCUUCAUUCCAACUGUAAUAAGAGAAAAAAAAAGCUUUGCUGUGGACCUGGAUCAAUCCUGAAUGUUCAGGAACUGCUUUUUCAUCUCUCUUCUCUCAUUAGCUGGUGGUGUCAAGGUGUUCUUUGCUAAUGAAUGGCUGCACAGUUCUGUGAGGCCUUCAGAUGAAAACAGCUAUAGAAGCCCAGCACAGGGCACAGUCAUCUCUCAAAGCAAACUACGUGAUGCAAGUCAAGGCUUAAAGGCUUUGCUGUGCUGGAUGCAGUUCACAUCUGGGGCUGUGAUCAUCUCCUGGGGGUGGAGGAAAGAUUCUGUCUGACAGUCCUGAAAGUAACAGGUCAAGUGCCUAACAAAGGGACGCCCAGGCCUUGGACGUGAUGUCUGGGACAGAGGCUUGUCUGUGUCAGAUGCCCCUUUGUCCUCCUGUCGCUGGGGCAGGAGGGGAAGCCUCUGAUGAGACCCAGUGCUCAAAUCUCUGUUUGCUGUGCCCCUCUUUCUCCUGAUCUGGACUGUCCCCAUUUAUGGAGCACCUCUGCGUUGAAAAGUGUUGUAGCCUGCUCAGCAUGUACCUAGAAGCCCUGUUUUGAAGGUGCAAAAGGACAAGAGAUGGUCUCUUGGUCAGAGAAACAGGCUUCAUGGCCACCUGGUGCGUUCACAGCCUUACGCACUGCUUUUUCUACACAUAAGGUCUUCCCUGCUGCCCACAUGAGUGUCAUGCAUUGGUCUUCUGCAUCCCAGGCAGCUGUGGGCACCUCGCAGCCCAUCUUGCUGCUGUUGGACCAGAGGUGAUCUGCUUUUCGAAACCACGAAGGGCAGCACUGCUCCCUCUGGCAGGAUGUGUUGCAAUGGAUGUGGCUUUUCAACCUCUCAAACUCCGAAGUGUUGUUUUAUUAACUAACAAGGGUAUUAGAAAUGCACAGAGUCACUGGGCUGAGUAUCGAGGUCUGUGACAGCAAGACAAAUUGGACAACUAAUAGGUUAUGUGAGUG